rnacentral:rRNA from 1 species
CCCUUAUCCUCAGUAGCCAGCAGUAAGAUGGGCACUCUGGGGAGACUGCCAGGGAUAACCUGGAGGAAGGUGGGGAUGACGUCAAAUCAUCAUGCCCCUUAUGAUUUGGGCUACACACGUGCUACAAUGGCGUAAACAAAGGGAAGCGAAGCCGCGAGGCGGAGCAAAUCCCAAAAAUAACGUCUCAGUUCGGAUUGCAGGCUGCAACCCGCCUGCAUGAAGCUGGAAUCGCUAGUAAUCGCGGAUCAGCAUGCCGCGGUGAAUACGUUCCCGGGUCUUGUACACACCGCCCGUCACACCAUGGGAGUCGAUAACGCCCGAAGUCAGUGACCUAACCGCAAGGAAGGAGCUGCCGAAGGCGGGAUUGAUAACUGGGGUGAAGUCGUAACA